GAAUCGAUCAGGAGAUGCCGGCAAAAGAAGUUGCUGAAAGCCAGGCUGGCGUGGCCGGGAGCUGCGUGCCGACGGCACCGUCACGCACCGGGAGCAGCUGAACUUUGUGGGUUUUGAAUAUAGGUUUCUCCUCCGUGGAGGCUUCGGGCAGCGUUACGGGGAGAGUCACCGCACACCUUGCGCCUGCUGUUACCCAGACGGAGUCAGGGGGACGGCAACGGGGGGACUUCUGUCUCUCUGAGGACCAUCACCUGUGAAAAGAAGCUGGAGAAAGGCAAUUUAUCUUUCUUUUCCAGAUGACUGAAAAUACCUACAGGAUCCUGUCGCUUCAGUUUUCAUCAGGAAGUAGCGUCCGGGAGAGACGGCUGAGGAACAAAAAUGAUAGCAGUCAAAAUCAUUCCAGCACCUACUUUUUCCCAAGGAACUUCAUGCCUGUAGGGGUUUGCUGCGGGCAUUUCCAUGGGUGAGGACUGACGUACCGCAGAUGCAUCCCUAUCGGAUCAUGUAAGAAUUUGCAAAUGAGAAACCUACCCCAGCAAGACCACCUCUGCCCAGUUUGCAGUACAUGGUUUGUUGUAAGCACAGCAGUUCUCGCCUCUUUCUCUCCCUUCUAAAUCUCUUGGGCUUGGAGAUCUCUUUCCUCAUUGCAAUUAUGAUUAUUUGCAACAUCAGUGCCAUCAAAGAUUGGAGCACAUUCCUCUCCCAGAUCCUGCCCAGCGUUAACAAGACUCUGAACUUGGUACAGCAAGUGGAAGCCACCACCAGCUCGGUGGUAAGUGUCCUCCAGGACCCUGAGCAGGACAACUACCUGUCCAACAGCCAGUCUAUGAACUCCAGCAACUUCACGGCUGGCCUGGACCACUUGUUCCAGUACUCGUACUCAGACAAUGACCAGCUUUACAAGGAGUACAAACCCCCUCCUCGAGACGCCAUUCCUUUGCCCAAGGCUGUCCUCUACCUUCUCAUGGCAGCCCUGGUGGUGGUGGCAGUGGCGUACGCCAUCGUCGGGCAUCUCAUCAAGGACCUCAUUCACGACUUUAUAGACUGGAUCUUCGGCCCCAGCCCUGAUGACAACAGCAACAAAAGCGAUGUCAACUGCAUCAGCAACAGUGUCAACGAGAUGAGCGAGAUCCCCGAGGCGCCACGGCGCCGGGACCACCAGCCCCAGGACGUGGUCAUUGCCAUCGGCGAGACCUGCCACCUCCCGCAGCAGACAUGACCGGCGCGGUGGCCGGGCCAGGCGGGAUGGAGCAGUGGGAUGGAGCAGGAGGGACAGAGGAGCAGGAUGGAGCAGGAGGGAUGGAGCAGCAGGAUGGCACAGCGGGAUGAUGCAGCAGCCAGCUUGCAGGACCGGGCGGCGAGAGGAUGGGAUGGGCAGAGCCAGCACCAUGGAGCAAAGCCCUCCUCGCCCCGGUUUUGCCAACCUCUAAGGACCUUGCCGGGGUGGGCAGCAUCACCCCUUCUCCCGGGCUCGUCAGUCCUGCCCUGACGUCUGCCCAUGGGUUUGUGACCUCCCUUUCUUCCCUGUGAAUAGCAAAAAAAAAACCAAAAAAAAACAAAAAAAAACAAAUGCAAAAUACACCCCCAAAAGAAAUCUCUCAAGAGAAACAAACCAGAGAGGAGCCGGGCGGUCCUUUGGCGUGCGGCUGUCCCGGGGAUGUGGUGGUGAGAAGGGGAAGGGAGACGAGGAGGCUGCAUGAGAAAUGGGGGUGUCUGUGUUUCUGGGGGCAGACCCAGGAAGCAGCAGGGAGCUGGGGCUGGACCAUGACCCAGGGGCUGCAGAAAGGCACUGAAAGGUCAGCAGGGGCCAAGUCCAGCCCGCUACGUUGAUGACCUGCCCGGGUCAUCAAUCCUCCCCCUUAAUUUUGCACCUCCAGCUCACAGCCCAUUUCAGCAGGUGCGUCCCGUGGCUCUGGGGCAGUGGGGUGACAGCCCCACCUCCUCAGGCACCCUUCCUCCCCCAUGCCUAGGUCAAGAAUACCACCUUCCUUCCACUACCAGCUCUGGUUGAGUCCAGCAUCCCUGCUGGGACACGGCACACCCCUGUUCUCUGAGGAAAGUUGCUGAAGGGGAGGGAAGUGACCCACCUGAAGGAAAACCCAGCUCUUCGUAGGGGAAAACAGCCCCUAUAUGGCUGCAUCCCUCAGACUCAUCCCAAUGUGGCCGUCCCCCUCAUCACCCCCAAACUAGCUGCCACCACAAAGUGAUGCAGGCUCUGC
rnacentral:lncRNA from 1 species